UACGUAGGGGGCAAGCGUUGUCCGGAAUUAUUGGGCGUAAAGAGUACGUAGGCGGUUUGCUAAGCGCAAGGUGAAAGGCAGUGGCUUAACCAUUGUAAGCCUUGCGAACUGACAGACUUGAGUGCAGGAGAGGAAAGCGGAAUUCCUAGUGUAGCGGUGAAAUGCGUAGAUAUUAGGAGGAACACCGGUGGCGAAGGCGGCUUUCUGGACUGUAACUGACGCUGAGGUACGAAAGCGUGGGGAGCAAACAGG
rnacentral:rRNA from 1 species